GCUUACGGCCAUACCAGCCUGGGUACGCCCGAUCUCGUCUGAUCUCGGAAGCUAAGCAGGGUCGGGCCUGGUUAGUACUUGGAUGGGAGACCGCCUGGGGAAUACCAGGUGCUGUGAGCA
rnacentral:rRNA from 1 species